UACGUAGGUGGCAAGCGUUUGUCCGGAUUUAUUGGGUUUAAAGGGUGCGUAGGCGGUCCUAUAAGUCAGUGCUGAAAUAUCCCGGCUUAACCGGGAGGGUGGCAUUGAUACUGUUGGACUUGAGUAAAGUUGAGGUUGGCGGAAUUGACGGUGUAGCGGUGAAAUGCUUAGAUAUCUGGAGGAAUACCGGUGGCGAAGGCGGCAUCCUGGACCAUUACUGACGCUGAGGCGCGAAAGCUAGGGGAGCAAACGGG
rnacentral:rRNA from 1 species